GGUCUCAAACUCCUGACCUCAAGUGAUCCGCCUGCUUCAGCCUCCCAAAGUGCUGGGAUUCACUCUGAUACACUAAGUUCACUCUAAUACAGCGAAUACGGCUGAACUGCUGGUUGGCCUUUGCCUUCUCCAGUGCAUGUACUGAAUAUUGCUGACCAGCCUGCAUGGCUCCAGGAGGGCUCCCCUCCCUUCUUCCUGCUGCAGCCCGAUUGUGCCCCGUGAGUAUUCUGAGCCCCUUUUCUGGUUUCAGGCCUGCGUCAGUGUAGGGUGACAGGAAGGGUCUCUGCUGCACUCUGCCUCAGGAAAAGCAGCAUCUGUGGAGAAUCUGAACUGAGGAGGAAGCCCUGCCCAGCAGCCUGGGGGCUCCCAGGGAUGUCUGCUGCAUGGAGACCACAGAAACCUGUGGUGGGCAGAGAGUUACAGUUUGGCUGUGUGUUGACCGCCCUCACAUAGGCUCUACCAGCAGCCAAGGCGGUGUCUGGAGAUGACUGUGUGUGUGCCUAGGGCACACAGGCACGGAGACACCGCCAGCCCUUUAUGUUGUGAUCAGGGCUGGCAGGAGGCUCUGACUACGGCUGUGGGAAGGGGACGUAUGCGCUGUCCUCUUUCUGAGCGUUGCUCUGGUGGGAGUUGUCAUCUGGGAGCAGUCAUGGAAGAGGACCGCCCCCGCCUCCCAGGUACAAGCACAGGCUCCUCUGCACUCCGACUCGCUGUCCCCUCAUCUCCUCCCCAGAGCCCAGGCACUGCCUGCUAACCCCAGACCUUCUAUGGUCCCCUUAGGACUCUUGCCCACCAUUGGUCCUGAUGGCUGGCCCCGCCCAGACUGGGCUUUCUCACAGGGGACCCAGCUGCCCUUCUGCCCCAUGAGAAGUCACUGGCUCCCCCCGCCUCAUCCCUUACUGCCGAGUGAGGGUCUGGUUCUUAGAGCCCCUUGUGUGUGAACAUGUAAAGCUUGUGGCUGUGAGGUGUGUUUGGUAAGAACAGUGCACAGCUUUCACCAGAUUCUCAGGAGGGCCAGUGGCCCCCUCUGUGUCAACAAGUUGAAGAGCCAGGGUCAGUCUGGCUGCCACUGAGGGCCAGGCUGCAUCCUUGUGUGCCUGGGUGGCCUGACUGCAAGGAGAAGCCCUCGCUCAGUCCUGGACACAUGGUGUGCAUGGUGUGGCGGGUCAGCCCCACAGGACUGCCUCCUCUGUCUUAGGUUCUCAGCCUCAGCCGGUUCAUGUUGAGGGCCAGAAGAUUCCUCACGGUGGGGCCGUGCUGUGUGUUGCAGGAUGGUUAGCGAUCUCCAGGCUUCUCCCCACCAGAUGCCAGUGGUGCUCCCACCCUUAUCAGUUGUGACAACCAAAAAUGCCUCCAGACAUUGCCUGAUGUCCCCUGUGGGCACAGUCUUCCAAGGGAGCAUUUCCUGAAGACGUGGCCAUGCAGCGCAUCAGCAACUCCCAGAGCAGCCAGCACCACGUCCAGUGGCCCAGGGCCUGCCCCGGCACGGGCGAGGAGCAGCCAGCAUGCUCCCAGCCACCCCCGCCCCUCACGCUGCCAUCCCCCAGCCACCAACUGCAGCAGCUGAUGGAUGGGUCAGGACUCACCCAGAUCGCCCAGGGAGCCCAGGUUCAGCUCCAGCACCCGGGUACGCCCAUCACAGUCCGAGAGCGGAGACCCUCCCAGCCCCACACACAGUCAGGGGGCACCAUCCACCACUUGGGACCCCAGAGCCCUGCAGCCGCAGGUGGGGCUGGCCUGCAGCCCCUGGCCAGCCCCAGCCACAUCACGGCUAACUUGCCACCACAGAUCAGCAGCAGCAUCCAGGGCCAGCUGGUCCAGCAGCAGCAGGUGCUGCAGGGGCCGCUGCUGUCCUGGCCCCUGGGCUUCGAGAGGACGCCCGGCGUGCUGCUCCCCGGGGCUGGGGGCGCAGCAGGGUUUGGGAUGAUGGCCCCCCCGCCACCCACCAGCCCUUCCAGGACUGCCGUGCCCCCAGGCCUUUCCAGCCUCCCACUCACAUCUGUGGGGAACACGGGAGUGAAGAAGGCUCCCAAGAAGUUAGAGGAGAUUCCCCCAGCCUCUCUGGAGAUGGUGCAGAUGAGGAAGCAGUGCCUGGACUAUCAUUACCAGGAGAUGCAGGCUCUGAAGGAGGUCUUCAAGGAGUAUUUGAUUGAACUGUUUUUCUUGCAACACUUUCAAGGGAACAUGAUGGAUUUCUUAGCUUUCAAGGAGAGACUGUAUGGACCAUUACAAGCAUAUCUUAGGCAGAAUGAUUUGGACAUUGAAGAGGAGGAGGAGGAGCACUUUGAAGUCAUUAAUGAUGAGGUAAAGGUUGUGGCCAGAAAGCACGGGCAGCCUGGCACUCCUGUUGCCAUAGCAACCCAGCUUCCCCCCGAGGACUUCCGCGGCUUUUCCAGCCCAGCAGCAGCCGCUCCAGGAGAACCAGAUGCAUCAGUGCGUUGCGGAGCUGAGGAAAGCAGGUGUGUGGUCCCAGAGGCGUCUGCCGAAGUUGCAGGAGGCCCCACAGCCCAAGUCCCACUGGGACUAUCUGCUGGAGGAGAUGCAGUGGAUGGCCACAGACUUUGCCCAGGAGAGGAGGUGGAAGGUGGCCUCUGUGAAGAAGAAUUAAAUAUGUAUAUCUAGUAAAAACACAAGAUGUUUCCAUGUUACCGUGUGCAUGGAGACCCUCGCAGACAACGUGGCGAUUGUCUUCAGACGGUCAGAGCCGUGGCCCGGCAGCUGCAGGACAGGAUGCGCAGAGAGGCCGAGACCGGGAGGGAGGAGCCGAGCGGCUGAGACGGACGGCACCUCCACUACCAGAGAAAUCCAGCAUUCCUGGUCUAGUACUGCGCAGAUAGUAGAAAUUAAGCUGCAAAUUGAAUUUCAAGAGAAACAAAAAAGACAUUAAAUUUGAAUAAAUAUUCAAAAAGAGGGCAUAAUGAGACUGAAGUCUUGAAAACGUUAUGAAUUCUACCUUUGUUGGUAAAGACUCCAGCAUCUUUGAAGCAGGUGCUCCGCUUGAAAAUAAAAGCGACAUGUCUUUUUAAAAGCAUGAAUGAAGAAAGACAUAAACUUCCGGAUUUGCAUAAGUGAGCUUGCCAACUAAGGAAACACACGAGUAUCAUCUGUAUCUUCAGGAGCACUUGAUUCGACUCCAGGAGCAGAAACUGCAGCUGCCCCCACCACCCCCACCACCGCAGACCCUGCCCGGGGCCCUGCAGCCAACCACACAAGUGCAAGUGCAGUCGCCACCCCCUACCACAGCAGAGCCCCCAGCUCACGGCUCCGGGCCCAGAGCCCUGGUGACGGGUACCAUCAUGGCCAACCUCCAGACUCCACCUCCCACCUGCAAGGCCCAAGACUGAUGUCAGUGCUGAUGUCCCAGAUGGCCCAGGUUGCUCUGGCCACGCCUCCUGUGGUGUCUGUCCUGGCAGUUGCGGUGCUGUCAGCCAGGGUCACAGAGCCUCCAUCAACACAACAGGAUCAGUGUUGUGAUAGGACAGCUGCAGAAAGCGGCAGGUAGGCAGUCAACUUCACCUCACCCAACUCGAAACAACUCACUUGAGUGAGUUGCAUCAAACCUUUCUAAAUUUCUCAUUCUAGAAGUUGCUGAGUUGUUUUGCCACGUGUUAAUUUUUUAAGAUGCCUAAUUAGAGCCUCAUUCCUUGCACCUCCCCCUUCUAAGCAAAUGGAGCAGAGACUGCAAUACCCCCCAGCGAGAGCUGCUUGCCGCUAUUAAGGGGAGAUGCAGCAUGGGCGUUAUUUCUCCUUUUUAAGGCAGCAGGCAUUUCCUUUACUGUCAUUGCCAUGCAGUUUACUCCUCUGAAAAAAUCAGCAGCAAUGAUGAGUGUGAGAUGAAGCUCCUUGUCUACAUGUGCUUUGUGUGUCCUGUGUGCUGUCUCUCUCCUGUCACCACAGAGGGCCAGACUGGUUGUGCAGCCUCUGCAUGUGCAGCAGCUCUAAAAGCUGAAACACCACCAGCAGCAACAAGCUGUGCAGCCCUCAGCCACCCCAGGCCUGCUGCUGCACAGCAGAAGGUAAGUGGCCACUUGGCUUUGUGGGAGCUGCAUCUCACACUCAUCGUUCAGGCCCCUUAGGCCAGAGUGGGGCUGGACUCAGCCCCUUCCUUUUGGAGGCAGCCUGAUGAGCAGAGCUGAGGAGGCUCCUGGAGGUGGGUAGGGGCCGAGUGUUAAGGAACUCAGACCCUGUAAUUUUUACAUAUAUUUGCUCUCUGGGGGAGAGCUUGCUUUGCUGUAGAGUAUAAUUUUUCAAAAAUAUUUACAAUGAUUUCUGUGAAAAAUCACUCUGACAAGGACUUCUAUUUCUGGUAAUAUGGUAGCUGAGAGAACCUGAAAAUCUAUCUCAACAAAACAUCUAAAAAUGCCGGAUUUUCAAAAAUUGCCAGGUAAAAUAUAUAAAACCAUGAAUGAGUCUGCAGGAUAGUGAGUUUAGAAACCAGGCGAGGGCUGAAGUCUAAGGAGGUAGGUCUGUGCUAAAGACACUCUAUGACCUGGGUCCCCAUGGACCCAGAUGACCUAGAACUUUGAGGUGAGUUUCAGGAGCAGUCUGGAGAAGCCUUGGGCCCAGGGAGGUGCGGAACCAAAUUGGAGACCCCCAUAUAAGGCUGGGCUCACAAAGGGAUACAGCAAACACUACCAGGAAAUGAUGAAGCGGGCAAACUACUCCUAUAAGCUUCACUGCAG